AGUGAACGCUGGCGGUAGGCCUAACACAUGCAAGUCGAGCGGCAGCACAGUAAGAGCUUGCUCUUACGGGUGGCGAGUGGCGGACGGGUGAGGAAUACAUCGGAAUCUACUUUUUCGUGGGGGAUAACGUAGGGAAACUUACGCUAAUACCGCAUACGACCUACGGGUGAAAGCAGGGGAUCUUCGGACCUUGCGCGAUUGAAUGAGCCGAUGUCGGAUUAGCUAGUUGGCGGGGUAAAGGCCCACCAAGGCGACGAUCCGUAGCUGGUCUGAGAGGAUGAUCAGCCACACUGGGACUGAGACACGGUCCAGACUCCUACGGGAGGCAGCAGUGGGGAAUAUUGGACAAUGGGCGCAAGCCUGAUCCAGCCAUACCGCGUGGGUGAAGAAGGCCUUCGGGUUGUAAAGCCCUUUUGUUGGGAAAGAAAAGCAGCAGGUUAAUACCCCGCUGUUCUGACGGUACCCAAAGAAUAAGCACCGGCUAACUUCGUG
rnacentral:rRNA from 1 species